AAGGAAGUGGCAGAGUGGUGAUGUGGCUGGCUUGAAACCAGGUUACGGGGGUUCAAUUCCUUCCUUCCUCG
rnacentral:tRNA from 1 species